rnacentral:rRNA from 1 species
CGCGUGGGAAUCUACCCAUCUCUACGGAACAACUCCGGGAAACCGGAGCUAAUACCGUAUACGUCCUUCGGGAGAAAGAUUUAUCGGAGAUGGAUGAGCCCGCGUUGGAUUAGCUAGUUGGUGGGGUAAUGGCCUACCAAGGCGACGAUCCAUAGCUGGUCUGAGAGGAUGAUCAGCCACAUUGGGACUGAGACACGGCCCAAACUCCUACGGGAGGCAGCAGUGGGGAAUAUUGGACAAUGGGCGAAAGCCUGAUCCAGCCAUGCCGCGUGAGUGAUGAAGGCCCUAGGGUUGUAAAGCUCUUUCAACGGUGAAGAUAAUGACGGUAACCGUAGAAGAAGCCCCGGCUAACUUCGGG